GACAGAGGGUGCAAACGUUGUUCGGAAUUACUGGGCGUAAAGUGAGUGUAGGCGGUCUGCUAAGUCGGGUGUGAAAGCCCCGGGCUCAACCCGGGAAGUGCACUCGAAACUGGCAGGCUAGAGUACUGGAGAGGUUGGUGGAAUUCUCGGUGUAGAGGUGAAAUUCGUAGAUAUCGAGAGGAACACCGGUGGCGAAGGCGGCCAACCGGACAGAUACUGACGCUGAGACUCGAAAGCGUGGGGAGCAAACAGG
rnacentral:rRNA from 1 species